GAUGAAGAACGCAGCGAAAUGCGAUACUUGGUGUGAAUUGCAGAAUCCCGUGAACCAUCGAGUCUUUGAACGCAAGUUGCGCCUCAAGCCAUUAGGUUGAGGGCACGUCUGCCUGGGCGUCACAUAUCGUUGCCUGAUGCCAGUUUCCUCGUGAUGGGUGACUGUGCAGGGCGAAUGAUGGCCUCCCGUGAGCAUUGUUGCCUCAUGGUUGGUUGAAAAUUGAGUCCUUGGUAGGGAGCGCCGUGAUAGAUGGUGGUUGAGUGACGAACGAGACCCAAUCAUGUGAGACCCCUACCGAAUUUGGCCUUCAUGACCCACAUGCGUCUUUGGAACGCUCAUGACGAGACCUCAGGUCAGGCGGGGCUACCCGCUGAGUUUAAGCAUAUCAAUAAGCGGAGGA
rnacentral:misc_RNA from 1 species